UACGAAGGGGGCUAGCGUUGCUCGGAUUUACUGGGCGUAAAGCGCGUGUAGGCGGUCCGGUAAGUCCGCUGUGAAAGUCGGGGGCUCAACCCUCGAAUGCCGGUGGAUACUGUCGGGCUAGAGUGCGGAAGAGGCGAGUGGAAUUCCUGGUGUAGCGGUGAAAUGCGUAGAUAUCAGGAGGAACACCGGUGGCGAAGGCGGAUCUCUGGGCCUUACCUGACGCUGAGGCGCGAAAGCUAGGGGAGCGAACAGG
rnacentral:rRNA from 1 species